UACGAAGGGGGCUAGCGUUGUUCGGAAUUACUGGGCGUAAAGCGCGCGCAGGCGGUUUUCCAAGUCAGGGGUGAAAGCCCGGAGCUCAACUCCGGAACUGCCAUUGAAACUGGCGAACUUGAGUACGAGAGAGGUGAGUGGAAUUCCCAGUGUAGAGGUGAAAUUCGUAGAUAUUGGGAAGAACACCGGUGGCGAAGGCGGCUCACUGGCUCGUAACUGACGCUCAGGCGCGACAGCGUGGGGAUCAAACAGG
rnacentral:rRNA from 1 species